rnacentral:rRNA from 1 species
AUGGAAUGGGCAACCCAGAAAGGAUGGACACAAUCCAUGAUGCAAAUUCUCUGUUCAGUUGUUGGCAAGACGGAAGUUGCAGACCACAUGUUCUGGUCUUUGGAAGAACAUUCAUAUGACGUGCAGACAGGGCUGGAGUUUCCAUCUGCAGUUCACCUGGCUGAUUCUGCAGGUGCAGGUGACCUUGUUGAUCCGAAUGUAACCAUAGCCGCCAUUUCUCCCCAGCCUUAUGCCGCUACCGAACCUGAACUCAUGGAGCCCGUCAUGGUGAUCACUGAUCCACCGGCUAGUGACACUACUGGAAUUUACUAG